rnacentral:rRNA from 1 species
CCCUUAGAUGUUCUGGGCCGCACGCGCGCUACACUGAUGGAUUCAACGAGCCAGCCCUUCGGGGCGAUCCUUGGUCGGAAGGCCUGGGGAAUCUUUUGAAUGUCCAUCGUGCUGGGGCUAGAUUUUUGCAAUUUUGAAUCUCCAACGAGGAAUCCCUAGUAAGCGCAAGUCAUCAGCUUGCACUGAUUACGUCCCUGCCCUUUGUACACACCGCCCGUCGCACCUACCGAUUGAACGGUCCGGUGAAAUCUUGGGACUGGCGUUUGGUUCUUUGUUGGGCCGUUCGCCGGGAACUUGAGUAAACCUUACCGUUUAGAGGAAGGUGAAGUCGUANCA